CCUACGGGAGGCUGCAGUGAGGAAUAUUGGUCAAUGGCCGGAAGGCUGAACCAGCCAAGCCGCGUGAAGGACGACGGUGCUAAGCAUUGUAAACUUCUUUUGUCAAGGGACAACAUCAGGCUCGAGUGCCUGACCGAGGGUACUUGAAGAAAAAGCAUCGGCUAACUCCGUGCCAGCAGCCGCGGUAAUACGGAGGAUGCGAGCGUUUUCCGGAUUUUUUGGGUUUAAAGGGUGGGUAGGCGGUCUGUUAAGUCAGCGGUAAAAGCUAGGGGCUCAACCCCGGCGAGCCGUUGAAACUGGGUGUCUAGAGAGGGCGAGAGGUAUGCGGAAUGCGCGGUGUAGCGGUGAAAUGCAUAGAUAUCGCGCAGAACGCCGAUUGCGAAGGCAGCAUACCGGCGGCGAUCUGACGCUGAGGCACGAAAGCGUGGGUAUCGAACAGGAUUAGAUACCCCGGUAGUC
rnacentral:rRNA from 1 species